UACGUAGGAGGCGAGCGUUGUCCGGAAUCACUGGGCGUAAAGCGCGUGUAGGCGGCACGGUAAGUCUGCCGUGAAAUCUCGUGGCUCAACUGCGAGGGGUCGGUGGAAACUGCCGGGCUUGAGGACGGUAGAGGGGGGUGGAAUUCCCGGUGUAGUGGUGAAAUGCGUAGAGAUCGGGAGGAACACCAGCGGCGAAGGCGGCCCUCUGGGCCGGUACUGACGCUCAUGCACGAAAGCGUGGGGAGCAAACAGG
rnacentral:rRNA from 1 species